CCCUUAGAUGUUCUGGGCCGCACGCGCGCUACACUGAACAGUUCAACAAGUCUUAACCUUGGCCGAUAGGUCUGGGUAAUCUUUGAACGCUGUUCGUGAUUGGGAUAGACCUUUGCAAUUAUGGGUCUUCAACGAGGAAUUCCUAGUAAACGCAAGUCAUCAGCUUGCAUUGAUUACGUCCCUGCCCUUUGUACACACCGCCCGUCGCACCUACCGAUUGAAUGGUCCGGUGAAAUCUUCGGAUCUGAGAGAUGUCUGAUUAAUUUCGGACGCCUUUUGGAAAAGUUGUUUAAACCUUACCAUUUAGAGGAAGGUGAAGUCGUAACA
rnacentral:rRNA from 1 species